GUCCUCGCUUCAGCAGCACAUAUACUACAAUUGGGAUGAUAUGGAGAAGAUUCCCAUGGCCCCUGCACAAUGAUGACACACAAAUUUUGUGAAGUAUUCAUAUAUUUU
rnacentral:snRNA from 1 species